rnacentral:misc_RNA from 1 species
GAUGAAGAACGUAGUGAAAUGCGAUACUUGGUGUGAAUUGCAGAAUCCCGUGAACCAUCGAGUCUUUGAACGCAAGUUGCGCCCGAAGCCACUAGGCCGAGGGCACGCCUGCCUGGGCGUCACACGUCGUUGCCCCCCCCCAUCUACUCCUUCGGGAUUGCGGGGGGCGGAUGAUGGCCUCCCGUGCGCCUAGCCGCGCGGUUGGCAUAAAUACCAAGUCCUCGGCGACGCACGCCACGACAAUCGGUGGUUGCGAAACCUCGGUUGCCCGUCGUGUGCGUUCGUCGCGCAUCGAGGGCUCGAAAAAAUGCUCGGCUCCGGCUCGGCUUUCAACGCGACCCCAGGUCAGGCGGGGUUACCCGCUGAAUUUAAGCAUAUCAAUAAGCGGAGGA